AAGCACAAAGGAGAGCCGUAGCUCUCCUCCAAUGUGGUUCACGUGCUCUUUUUAUUGUUAUAGGGCGGCCUGUUAUUGUUGUUGGCGACCAGUCCCUUUACAGCGUUGUUGUGCGACCCCUAUCCGGGGUCAAGAGCAAACGUAUUUUUUUGAGCGCUGAUUCGCUUUAAUCACCUGCCUGCACAACAGCGUGAUCCCACCGGUUCUGGAGCUACCUGACGGUAGUU
rnacentral:sRNA from 2 species